GACGGAGGGGGCAAGCGUUGUUCGGAAUUAUUGGGCGUAAAGGGCGCGUAGGCGGAUUGGUAAGUCUGGCGUGAAAUCUCCACCACUUAACGGGGAGAGGUCGCUGGAAACUGCCGAUCUGGAGUUCGGUAGAGGAUCAUGGAAUUCCAGGUGUAGCGGUGGAAUGCGUAGAUAUCUGGAAGAACACCGGUGGCGAAGGCGGUGAUCUGGGCCGAAACUGACGCUGAGGCGCGAAAGCUAGGGGAGCAAACGGG
rnacentral:rRNA from 1 species